rnacentral:rRNA from 1 species
UAGGGAAUCUUCCGCAAUGGACGAAAGUCUGACGGAGCAACGCCGCGUGAGUGAAGAAGGUUUUCGGAUCGUAAAACUCUGUUGUUAAAGAAGAACAAGGAUGAGAGUAACUGCUCAUCCCCUGACGGUAUUUAACCAGAAAGCCACGGCUAACUACGUGCCAGCAGCCGCGGUAAUACGUAGGUGGCAAGCGUUGUCCGGAUUUAUUGGGCGUAAAGCGAGCGCAGGCGGUUCUUUAAGUCUGAUGUGAAAGCCCCCGGCUCAACCGGGGAGGGUCAUUGGAAACUGGAGAACUUGAGUGCAGAAGAGGAGAGUGGAAUUCCACGUGUAGCGGUGAAAUGCGUAGAUAUGUGGAGGAACACCAGUGGCGAAGGCGACUCUCUGGUCUGUAGCUGACGC